ACGGGUGUGGCGCAGUCUGGUCAGCGCGGGGCGUUCGGAACGCUCAGGUCGCAGGUUCGAGUCCUGCCGCCCGUA
rnacentral:tRNA from 1 species